rnacentral:rRNA from 1 species
UACAGAGGGGGCAAGCGUUGUUCGGAAUUACUGGGCGUAAAGGGCGCGUAGGCGGCCCGCUAAGUCGAACGUGAAAUCCCCGAGCUCAACUCGGGAACUGCGUCCGAUACUGGCGGGCUUGAAUCCGGGAGAGGGAUGCGGAAUUCCAGGUGUAGCGGUGAAAUGCGUAGAUAUCUGGAGGAACACCGGUGGCGAAGGCGGCAUCCUGGACCGGUAUUGACGCUGAGGCGCGAAAGCCAGGGGAGCAAACGGG